AAUAACAAACAUCAUUUGGAAACAUGUUUACAAAUUAGUUACAGAUUUUUAAAAACUACGUACGAUCUAGCAGAUUGACGAUUUUAUUAUCUCCCUUUGCUAACUCUUUAGUGUUAAAGAUACGAUUGUUUGGGGAAACAUGACAACAUGUCAUACGAGUUGGCGGUUUGAAGACAGACGGUGCCGUUUUGUAACAUUCUUUAUGGACAAAUACUCCAUGUGAAGAAGUUUCAAAGACAAUUUAUGUGAAUGACUAUAAGAAAUCGGUAGCUCGAUAUUUAUGCUCCUUAAACAAAUCACAUUGUGGGAAAUCCAUGACACAAGGCCCGCCUGCGCCUGUGUCUAUUUUCACAAUCACACGUUGGGAUUUUUCGGUUGUUUUAUAUCAUCAGAGUUCUUUAGAGUGGAUGAGGAAUACUACAUGUGUUUUCCCAGAUCACUCGGUCAAUUGUAUUGGAUAUACGAACCGGAUAUGGGCACAUAUCAUUAACAUUUGGGAUGAGCAACAUGCUUGUGGAAAAAUGCUAUGGCCAGUAUGGGUGGCGGUGCAGUAUACAAGGAAUCUAUUCACUGAAAUUCCAAGAAGAUUCCAUGACUUGCUUGCCAUACAACAAACAACAGAAUAUGGACGUGAUUCCUAGAAUUAGAACUUGAAUGGGUCAGACUUGAAUACAUGCAAAGUCAUGUAGCAAUAUUAAAGGUGUUGUACUUCAGGAAAAGGGGAAGCGUAUUUGUUGGAAGAUGGAUAAAGGAAAAUUGGAGCAUGCACUAGACUUCUUU